rnacentral:rRNA from 1 species
GACGAACGCUGGCGGCGUGCCUAAUACAUGCAAGUCGAGCGGAUGAAAGAGGAGCUUGCUCCUCUAGAUUCAGCGGCGGACGGGUGAGGAACACGUGGGCAACCUGCCCUGUAGAUUGGGAUAACCCCGGGAGACCGGGGCUAAUACUGAAUAAUCCUUCGGACCUCAUGGUCCGAUGUUGAAAGACGGUUUCGGCUGUCACUACAGGAUGUGCCCGCGGCGCAUUAGCUAGUUGGUGAGGUAACGGCUCACCAAGGCCACGAUGCGUAGCCGACCUGAGAGGGUGAUCGGCCACACUGGGACUGAGACACGGCCCAGACUCCUACGGGAGGCAGCAGUAGGGAAUCUUCCACAAUGGACGAAAGUCUGAUGGAGCAACGCCGCGUGAGUGAAGAAGGUUCUCGGAUCGUAAAACUCUGUUGUGAGGGAAGAACAAGUACCGGAGUAACUGCCGGUGCCUUGACGGUACCUCAUUAGAAAGCCACGGCUAACUACGUGCCAGCAGCCGCCGUAA